rnacentral:rRNA from 1 species
AUUGAACGCUGGCGGCAGGCCUAACACAUGCAAGUCGAGCGGAUGAGAGGAGCUUGCUUCUCGAUUCAGCGGCGGACGGGUGAGUAAUGCCUAGGAAUCUGCCUGGUAGUGGGGGACAACGUUUCGAAAGGAACGCUAAUACCGCAUACGUCCUACGGGAGAAAGCAGGGGACCUUCGGGCCUUGCGCUAUCAGAUGAGCCUAGGUCGGAUUAGCUAGUUGGUGAGGUAAUGGCUCACCAAGGCGACGAUCCGUAACUGGUCUGAGAGGAUGAUCGGUCACACUGGAACUGAGACACGGUCCAGACUCCUCCGGGAGGCAGCAGUGGGGAAUAUUGGACAAUGGGCGAAAGCCUGAUCCAGCCAUGCCGCGUGUGUGAAGAAGGUCUUCGGAUUGUAAAGCACUUUAAGUUGGGAGGAAGGGUUGUAGAUUAAUACUCUGCAAUUUUGACGUUACCGACAGAAUAAGCACCGGCUAACUCUGUGCCAGCCGCCGCGGUAAUAC